UACAUGGGGUGCAAACGUUGCUCGGAAUUAUUGGGCGUAAAGCGCACGUAGGUGGUCUGUUAUGUCAGAUGUGAAAGCCCUCGGCUUAACUGAGGAAGUGCACCUGAAACUGGCAGGCUUGAGUACGAAAGAGGGUCGCGGAAUUCCCGGUGUAGAGGUGAAAUUCGUAGAUAUCGGGAAGAACACCGGUGGCGAAGGCGGCGACCUGGUCCAUUACUGACGCUGAGGCGCGACAGCGUGGGGAGCAAACAGG
rnacentral:rRNA from 1 species